UGGACAGAUUAUUGUAUGUCGACUGUAUUCACGGAUGAAAUAGGGGAUUAGACUUUUAUUAAAGGGAAGUGAAUCAAUUUAACAUAUAGACUCCU
rfam:Nicotiana attenuata strain TT chromosome 1, whole genome shotgun sequence.